rnacentral:rRNA from 1 species
CGCUGGCGGCGUGCUAAUACNUGCACGUCGAGNUUAACAGAUGGGAGCUUGCUCCCUGCAUGUUAGCUUGGACGGACGGGUGAGUAACACGUGGGUAACCUGCCUGUAAGACUGGGAUAACUCCGGGAAACCGGGGCUAAUACCGGAUGCUUGUUUGAACCGAUGGUUCAAACAUAAAAGUGUGGCUUCGGCUACCACUUACAGAUG